AGGAGUAGGCGGAGUGGCGGACGACGGGGCGGCGGGUCGGCGGCUGUGGCGUCGAGCACUCAUCGGGCAAGCGUGAGGCGUGGCUGGGCUCUGCCGAGACAGGGACGCAGGCAGGCGGCGAGCGGCAUCUGCGGACGGGCCUAGCGGACGGUGCGGCAGCACAGCGCGGCGGCAGCCAGCUGCCCAGCUUCACGUCCUUCUCGUCUUGGCCUGCAGAAGAUGGAGAGUAAGGGGAAGGGGCGAAACGGGAGAGGUAUAUUUUUUGAAUUUCGUAGCAUUUUUUGAUACCUUGUAAUCUGCAGCAAUCAGUAGUUUCAAUUCCAAUGAUUUAUCUCUUCUAUUGCAAAUGGAAAUCAUUUUUGGUACUGUAUGGGCUGUAAUUAUUCAGAUUAGAUGCAUGUAUAUUUUUUGACUUAUAAAUUAUUUUUGGAGAACAUUUUUUGGCAUCUUGGAAGCAAUGCAAUGUAGUGAUAAUUUAAUGGUGUGAAAUUGUGAAUUGCAGGAGCGUAGGGAUCUGCCGUUGCCUGGAUCUUCUAGACGGCAUUGAAACCUUCAUUAUCGGUAUAUUUUAGGUUGUUUUUUCAAUUGAAACAUGUCUACAUUUUCAUUGUAUUUAGUUAUUAGUUUGUGGUGUGCAAUGUUAGUGUGUAUUGACUCUUUUGGUUUGCGUAAAAAUAAUCUUUGCUUAAGACUUCGUCACACCUUAAAUUUUUUUCGUCCUCCGCCUCUGUAUGUAUGUAGACAAUUCGUCAAUGUUUGUUGCCCACAAAAUAAUCCAGAAUUUUUCAAAUUUUU
rnacentral:lncRNA from 1 species